GUGGCAAUGGGCGCCUCGAUGGAUCAGGAGCACAGCGGACACCCUGCCAGAUCUGGAGGGAUGGAAGUCAGCGGUGGGUCUGCGAAAGCGCAAACAGGAGUGGUGGACAGCAAGUGAAAGCUCACCUCGAGCCGUAAGGAACACGGAACAAAAGAGAGUGCAGUUGCAAGAUUUAAUAGAGUGAAGACAGAGCUCCCAUACAAAAAGAGAGGACCCAAAGAGGUCAUCAGUUAGAUGAAUAUGUAUUUGAAAGCUGUUCAUUCAUUGUGGAGAUGUGGGUAGACAGCAGUAAAUAUGCCCCAUGGCACUGAUUAACUCAAAGUGGCUCCAGGCCAAAGAUUUUAUGCUUCAGUGGAGAUAUUUUUGCCAGGAACCAUGUUUACCAGAGAUGUUUCCCAAGAUGGACAACAGACUGACCAUGUUGAUUCAGAACUAAGUACUAAUAAAAAGGAGUUUAAUAAGAAGUCUAAUAGAAAUCAAAUUGUAUUUAUCAACUUUAAU
rnacentral:lncRNA from 1 species